rnacentral:tRNA from 2 species
GCCGAUGUAGCUCAGUGGUAGAGCAACGCUUUCGUAAAGCGUGGGUCGUCGGUUCAAUCCCGACCAUCGGCUCCA